rnacentral:rRNA from 1 species
AUUGAACGCUGGCGGCAGGCUUAACACAUGCAAGUCGAACGAGUGGCGGACCGGUGAGUAAUUUCUGGGAAACUGCCUGAUGGAGGGGGAUAACUACUGGAAACGGUAGCUAAUACCGCAUACCAUCGGAUGUGCCCAGAUGGGAUUAGCUAGUAGGUGGGGUAACGGCUCCCCUAGGCGACGAUCCCUAGCUGGUCUGAGAGGAUGACCAGACACAGUGGAACUGAGACACGGUCCAGACUCCUACGGGAGGCAGCAGUGGGGAAGAUUGAACAAUGGGCGCAAGCCUGAUACAGCCAUGCCGCUUGUAUGAAGAAGGCCUUCGGGUUGUAAAGUACUUUCAGCGGGGAGGGGUUACCCGCAGAAGAGGCACCGGCUAACUCCGUGCAAGCAGCCGCGGUAAUAC